rnacentral:misc_RNA from 1 species
AAACUUCAAUGCACUAUCUGUCCUGCAAGUUUAAAGCGAAAAGUCAUUUUAAGAAACAUCACCAUGCUAAAUCCUACUUCCUCAUGCGAAGAAAAUAAGUUCAGAAUAUUGUACAAUACCACUGGUUGGUUGGUUGCUAUCACAUGCGGUUUGGUUAUUAACUUACAAAAUUUUACAAGUAAAAAUCUCAAAAAUAUUUCAAAACAGACACAAAAGCAGAUCCUUUCAGAAUCAACGUAAAAUCUCAACUUGAAUCAGUAAAACCAGGAGAAAAGCAACUCCAUCUCCAAUUUUAGCGAGUCCAAAAAAUGCCUUUUUAUUAUUUAUGAGCUUAGGCUUCUAAUGUGCUAUUGAAGCCUGAAAUCAGAAGAAUUGGAAACCUAGCCCUCUUUAAUUAUUUAAUUAGUGUGGGUUGCUUAUAGAAUGAUAAAUUAUUAGGCACCUCUUUCAAGUCUUGAUUUCCACCUACCAAGAUAACUGGAUACCAUAGCUAGGGAUUUCUAUCAGGGAUUUUACAAGUUUUUUGGUAUUUUGGCAUCUCAGAUCAAAAACAGAAGCACCAGUAUCAAUAAUUGUUGGCAAGUGCAUCCUCUCUCUCUGCCUGCUAUUUUGGUGCUGCUCUUGUACUAAAUUUGAAGGUUUCAUUUAAAAAUCUAAAUUUUAGGGAUUCUAGGUAAAGGAUUAAUUUUAAAUGGGUUGACUGAUUUAUUUUUUUAAAUCAAAAUUUGGGAAGCAGAAAAUGCUAGUGACUGAGAAAAAGGAUUAGUGAUAAUACAUGUGGUUUCCAUUGCAACUUUAAUCAAAUUUUCUUAAGCCUCCGUUAUUAUUGUGGAUUUAGAUUGAUUUUUUUGGUCCAAAAUUUUAAGAGUUAUUUAUGAUUUGUUUAAUUAAAUUUUGUCAUAAUUUUGAUUUUGAAAUUUUAGUGUUGAUUUAUAAUUCACAAGUGUAAAAACAGUGUGAGGUGAUACAGACAAGUUCCCAUAACAGCUGGUUUACAUUAGGGAUUGACUUUGAAUUCAUGCCUAUUUACCUUAGUUAUAAGUAAGCUAACUAGUCAUAUUCAAGAU